AUGGCUCGGGAUGAACGCUGGCGGCGUGCGUUAACACAUGCAAGUCGAACGAGGGUACCGGUUGAAAUUUCGAAUGGAACGGGUAAUUCCUAGUGGCGGACGGGUGAGUAACGGCGUGGGGAACCUGCCCCAUUCCGGGGGAUACCAGUUGGAAACGACUGUUAAUACCGCAUAAGCGCACGAGUACUGCAUGGUACGGUGUGAAAAACCACGGUGGAAUGGGAUGGCCCCGCGUCUGAUUAGCCAGUUGGCAGGGUAACGGCCUACCAAAGCGACGAUCAGUAGCCGGCCUGAGAGGGCGACCGGCCACAUUGGGACUGAGACACGGCCCAAACUCCUACGGGAGGCAGCAGUGAGGAAUAUUGCACAAUGGGGGGAACCCUGAUGCAGCGAACCGCCGCGUGAGUGAAGAAGUAUUUCGGUAUGUAAAGCUCUAUCAGCAGGGAAGAAGAUGACGGUACCUGCACAAGAAGCCCCGGCUAACUACGUGCCAGCAGCAGC
rnacentral:rRNA from 1 species